rnacentral:rRNA from 1 species
AGUGAACGCUGGCGGUAGGCCUAACACAUGCAAGUCGAACGGCAGCACAGUAAGAGCUUGCUCUUACGGGUGGCGAGUGGCGGACGGGUGAGGAAUACAUCGGAAUCUACUUUUUCGUGAGGGAUAACGUAGGGAAACUUACGCUAAUACCGCAUACGACCUACGGGUGAAAGCAGUGGAUCUUCGGACCUUGCGCGAUUGAAUGAGCCGAUGUCGGAUUAGCUAGUUGGCGGGGUAAAGGCCCACCAAGGCGACGAUCCGUAGCUGGUCUGAGAGGAUGAUCAGCCACACUGGAACUGAGACACGGUCCAGACUCCUACGAGAGGCAGCAGUGGGGAAUAUUGGACAAAGGGCGCAAGCCUGAUCCAGCCAUACCGCGUGGGUGAAGAAGGCCUUCGGGUUGUAAAGCCCUUUUGUUGGGAAAGAAAAGCAGCAGGUUAAUACCCCGCUGUUCUGACGGUACCCAAAGAAUAAGCACCGGCUAACUUCGUG